rnacentral:rRNA from 1 species
GACAGAGGUGCCAAGCGUUAGGCGGAAUCACUGGGCUUAAAGCGUGUGUAGGCGGAUUUGUACGUACCUUGUGAAAUCCCACGGCUCAACCGUGGAACUGCUCGGUAUACUGCUUAUCUUGAGCCACUUAGGGGCUACCGGAACAAAUGGUGGAGCGGUGAAAUGCGUAGAUAUCAUUUGGAACGCCAAUGGUGAAAACAGGUAGCUGGGAGUGUGCUGACGCUGAGACACGAAAGCCAGGGGAGCGAACGGG